ACAGUGUCUGGUGGGUAGUUUGACUGGGGCGGUCUCCUCCCAAAGAGUAACGGAGGAGCACGAAGGUUAGCUAAUCACGGUCGGACAUCGUGAGGUUAGUGCAAAGGCAUAAGCUAGCUUGACUGCGAGAGUGACGGCUCGAGCAGGUACGAAAGUAGGUCUUAGUGAUCCGGUGGUUCUGAAUGGAAGGGCCAUCGCUCAACGGAUAAAAGGUACUCCGGGGAUAACAGGCUGAUACCGCCCAAGAGUUCAUAUCGACGGCGGUGUUUGGCACCUCGAUGUCGGCUCAUCACAUCCUGGGGCUGAAGUAGGUCCCAAGGGUAUGGCUGUUCGCCAUUUAAAGUGGUACGCGAGCUGGGUUUAGAACGUCGUGAGACAGUUCGGUCCCUAUCUGCCGUGGGCGUUGGAAGAUUGAGAGGGGCUGCUCCUAGUACGAGAGGACCGGAGUGGACGAAUCACUGGUGUUCGGGUUGUCAUGCCAAUGGCAUUGCCCGGUAGCUAAAUUCGGAAGAGAUAACCGCUGAAAGCAUCUAAGCGGGAAACUUGCCUCGAGAUGAGUCUUCCCUGGGGCUUUAAGCCCCCUGAAGGAACGUUAAAGACUAUGACGUUGAUAGGCUGGGUGUGUAAGUGCAGCGAUGCAUUGAGCUAACCAGUACUAAUGAUCCGU
rnacentral:rRNA from 1 species